rnacentral:snoRNA from 1 species
UUAAAUGGGUUCUCGGAACAAACAAAUCAUAGACUCGUUUCACAGUUGACUAAUAUUAUAUUUUACUCUUGGUAUACUGACUAUUGCAUGCAAAAAUUCCAAGUGCAAAAGCCACGAGCCCAAGGACA